rnacentral:tRNA from 1 species
GCCAGUUUGGCUCAGUGGACAGAGCGUCAGCCUACGAACUGAAGGGUCCUGGGUUUGAUUCCAGUAAAGGGCA